rnacentral:lncRNA from 1 species
UAAUACCCUAAAGUUAAGACCUAAUUUCAAAGAAACUGGAAAUGACAGACCCCCUCCUCUCUUGAAUUCUCAGCAGCCGCACAACCACAGUCCCUCCUCUCCAUCGCUUAAGCUUCUGCCCAACGACCUCUUCGAUUGAAGACCAACAACCAUCAAUCUCUAACUCCCCAAAAAUGGCCGAACUCCCCCCUCUUUAUAACCAAGAGCCACACACCUCUCACCUUCACCAAUCCUUAAAACAUCCCCAGUUGUCACCCCUAAAACUAGCCAUCGGGAACAAGCACACACAUAUAGUUGAAGGAAAUCGAUGACCACUCUCAACCCCUCCCCCAUCGCUCAGAUCUGAGUAAAAGGAGGUAGCGAGGCAAUCUGAUCAAAGUUGAUGAGGUUUCCGGCGAGGUUUUCCAUUUUAGAUUUUGUUCGCGAGUCCGAUAUCUAGUCGUUUGUGGAACAAAUACUCGAUUUUAUGAGUAAUACGAGCCUGAGAUUUUGGUGAUUAAUUUGAAAGUGUGGCUGCUUGAGGUCUGUUUUUACUUUGAAUUUAAUCUUUUCUCCGUGUUCCUGUUUCUUUGAUGAUUAUGACUGCCCUAUCAUUAUUCGGUUAUUUUGUGUUUUGUUUAAAAUUAUCUCUUAAUUUGAUUUGUUUAUGCUUAGUUUGAAUAUGAUACAUUAUAUAGAACAGAAAUGAAUUAGUUGGUUAGUUUUCAGAAUGAUGAACACAUGAUAUGUUUGGUUUAAUAAUUUUGGGUUAACAUUCAUCGAGAGUGCAAAGUAAACCACGAUAGUGAAUGAAAUUAAGGGUAGUUGUGUUUGGAUUGAUUCAAGUAACUAAAAAGGUUAAUGGCAAUAAAUUAAAGUUUACGCCUUCCUGUUGGAGUGUUGGGUCAUGAAACUUGACUUGGAAUGUUUGAUAGAACUUUUCUAUAUUAAGCUCAAAAACUUUUCAUGCUCGCAUUCUUGUUUAUUUAAUGGACUGCUAGUAUAAUGUUUAGGCCAUCGAUACAUGGGUAGGCAAAUCUUUAGGACGUUUGUGAUUUAAUUUCUGUUAAGGCGAGAGGUUGUCCCUUUAGUCGAUUAUAUUAUCUGGGGAAUGCUCCGAAGAUUUUGUAUAUAUUUUUAUCCGGGGUAUCCCCUAAAGUAUUUGUAUUGAAAGUCCAACAAUAGAACACUUUGAGGAAGCAUAGAAUAGUAUUUUUAUUUUUACUUUUAUUUUUGUUUCAUUAGGUGGGGACGACCUCGAGCCUCUUUUGAUUGUUUUUUUUUUAGUUUUUAUUUUUUUGUGUUUUUCUACCUCAAUUUGAGUAUUUUUUUAAAGCCAACUUGAUCAUGUACGCAACCGUACUAGUUACAGGACUCGAAGAAUGCCUAACACCUUCUCCUCGAGUCAAAUGAACCCCCUUAUCUAGAAUCUUUGGUGCAAACUGGUUUAAGAGUCAAAUAUGUUUUGAAGGAAAAUUGUUAUUUUGAAAAUGGUGACCUUGCACACCGACACCAAUGUUAGGUGGCGAUUCUGAAAAAUCCUUCGAAAUACAAUAUUUUUGUCACUUUUCAAUUUUUAAAACCCUUUUGAGCUCAAAAAUUACUUUAUUAUUUUAAAGGAGUUAGUGAGGUAAAAAAAGGGGUGUGACACCGGGUAGUUUUAGGACUCUACCAUGUAUUACUUGUAUUAUUUGCACUCAACUUGUUAGUUUAAAUACUUAAAUUUAUAAUUAUAAUUGGAUAAAUGAUUUGUAAAGACCGAGCUUCAUUACUUUGAGUCUUGGCAAAAUACUUGAUUGUUAGCGGAACUUAUGCCUUCUUUGAGUAUUAAUCUUAUGUGGUAGUCAUAAAUCAGAGCUUGUAGAGUAUUCUCUAUUCCUGUGGAUCGGGAUGAAUGCCUCAGCGGUAUAAUAGGUUCAUCUAUGGUUCGUGUCGGUCAACCCUCGGCAGUGUAUACACUAUUAUGGAUCGGGUCGUACGACCUCAACAUAAAUCGUGCGUGAUAUUGCUCGGAGUCUGAUUAUGCUUGAUAUUUCUUCUUAAUCUGAGACUAGGAAAUUUGUAAUGACCUGGCCGGUCGUUUCAUGAGUUGCCGCUCUGUUUCCCCCAUUUUUGUUUUCUUAUGUGAUGUUCAGCUACAUCUCAUCGUAUAAUGUUAGUUGGUUCGGGUUCAUAGUAGUUUUGGAGUGUUAUGAGACACUUAGUCUUUUAAGUUGGCAAUUUAGUUGGAAAGGUCAACCGGAAGUUGACUUGUGAGUAAAUGAUCUCGUAACAUGGUGUUUAUGGUUUGGAUAGCUUCAUGAGGUGAUUUGGGACUUAGGAGCAUGUUCAGAAUGUAAUUCGGAGAUCCGUGGUAGAUUUAGGCUUGAAUUGGCGAAAUUGGAAUUUUGGCGUUUUUCGGUUGGUAGCGAAAAUUUUGAUAUCGGGGUCGGAAUGGAAUUCCGAAAAUUGAAGUAGGUCCGUUGUAUCAUUUGUGAUGUAUGUGCAAAGAUUAGGUCAUUCAAAUUAGGUUUGAUAGACUCUUUGAUUGAUUGCGGAAUUCGGAAGUUUUGGAUCCUUAGGCUUGAAUCCGAGGGUGUUUUGAUGAUUCGAUGUUGUUUUAAGUGUUCCGAAGGUUGGUAUUGUUGAUACCCAAUUUUUCCCUAUGUAUUUUUAUAUACAAAAUACUUUCAAAAUAGCAUAUAUAUGCAUAUAUAAGCAUGCCCAAGUGUUUUGGUAUUUUUUCUAAUUUUUUUAAAAAGAUUUUAAAAUUAAUUUAUUGUCCACUUUAGCAGUAACUAUUCCCAAGAUUAUCGUUUUGGUGGAUAACUUAUCUUAUUAUCAUAUUUAUACCAAAAUAUAGUUAAGGUAAUUUUUGUUUGUUUUUACAAAUUUUAUUUGGUAUUUUAAAGCUAAAUUGCAUGUAAUUGCAAUUCUAGCCUACUUUAAGAUUAAUAGCAUUUUACAAUUGUAAAAUUAUUUCCAGUAUUUUUAAAUUAAUAUUUAUAUAUUAUUAAUUGGCUCAGUACUUUUAGUUUGCUUUUAAAAUUAUUUACUAUUUUUAUAAAAUAAAAGGGAAAACUAGCUAUUUAACAUCUAGCCUCAUUCUAUUUCAAAUACAACCUUUUUACCUUUCAAUUUUAACCAUUAUUUGACCCAAUCUUAACCUAUUUGGACCGGCCCAAUUUUUAAUUUUACCAAACCCACAACCCGAUCCAAAUGACCCUUACCCGGUUCCCACCUACCCUCCUAAAUCUGGGUCGUUGAUCACACAAGAUCAACGGCCGUAACUCACCCUUCCAUAAUUAAACCAAACGACCUACCCUAAUCUCCCUCAUUCACACCUGACCCGCCGCCUUUGAAUCCCAAACGUUCUCAAAUCCUCUCAUCAACUCUUCGAAACCCUAGCCUCCUCCUACCUUAUUUCACCAUGUUUUCACCGAAAUUCAUGGCUUCUCAAGCCAUGGACGGUCUGUACUCACCCCUCUCCAUCAUUAUACCUUGGGUGUUCGAGGUUUUGAAGGCUGACUUCGAUGGUUCUUGUAGGCUCUUCUCUGUUUAUUUUCUUAGAUCUAUGGUAUGUCCAUGUUCUACUGGGCUUCUAAAGUGUUUACCCCAAAUUUUCUUUUCAAAAAUCGUUUCUGAAAAAGUUUUCAAAAAUGAUCUUUCUGAUUCUUUAUUUAUGUGUGUUUGUCUGUGCUAUGCUCGUAUGGCUUCUUUUACUACGCGUGUACUGUUCUCUUACUCUUCUUUUUCUACUAUACCUGUUACUCUUGUUAAUCCUUGUUAUGUUUCCCUUACUCUUCUACUAUAUGUGCUUACUGUUGUGUUUUUUUUAUUUUGUUUGCUCUAUUAGACUUUGUUUACGUUCUUGCUGAACAUGUUUCCUCUGUUUUAAUUUAAGUCUGUAUCACCCCUUCUUUUCUGAACUUGUUUAAGUUUGAGUUUCUCAAAUAUGUUCUCUAUGACCUCAAAUUAGCUUUUUUUCUUUGUAUCAUGUCUGUUUGUUUCUCAUAAGUCUUUGAAAUAGACUUCUGAGCCUGUUUCAAUGACUUGCUUUCUUAUCUCUAUGAAACCCUAGGAUUUGGGGGUUUUUGGCAAUUUUGAAUUUGUGCGAGUUAGGGUUCCGCUUUGGGACCCUGAACCCUCAGACUCAUUGUGAGUCUGCAAACUGGACUUGUACCCUUUCUUGCUCAUGAUUCUGAACCUCUCUUUGAGUAAAAUCUCUUUUAUAUAACUUCUUGAUUCACAUGUUUGUGUGCUUUUAUAUAUGAGAACUCUUCUUUCAAAAGGUCUUUACCAACUAAUUGAUUGAUUUCGAAUUCCUUUUAAUGAGCCCUGACUGAUUUNNNNNNNNNNNNNNNNNNNNNNNNNNNNNNNNNNNNNNNNNNNNNNNNNNNNNNNNNNNNNNNNNNNNNNNNNNNNNNNNNNNNNNNNNNNNNNNNNNNNNNNNNNNNNNNNNNNNNNNNNNNNNNNNNNNNNNNNNNNNNNNNNNNNNNNNNNNNNNNNNNNNNNNNNNNNNNNNNNNNNNNNNNNNNNNNNNNNNNNNNNNNNGCAACUUUGAUUUCCCUGGCUGUUUGAUUGAUUUCCUUUCCUUAUUUUUUCCAAGCUGUGCACCACUGAGCUUUUCCUUAAAUAAACUUCUAUGUAUUUACCCCUUUUGUGCUACUUUGAAAAGGUUUUAAUCAAAAAUUUCUUUCCUUAAAUGUCUUCUACCCAUUUGAAAUCAAAUUCCUUAACUGAAGGGAAAUUCUAUGUGAUUGAUUGCAAGUUAUUUUUUUACCUUUCUUACUUUCUUCUUUGCUCUAUAAAAGGGACUACCCUUCUGCACUUUUGAGACAACUUGGAGUUCAAUACCUCGAACUUUUAGAUCAAUACUUUCAACUUACUUACACACUUUAUUGCUUUGAGUUCAAUACUCUUACAACAUUCUGCUCUUUUCUGGGAUCUUUUGGAACUUUUGCUUGCAACUUGGCUUUUUCAAAACUACUUUUACUUGUUUAUUUUGCCUGAAACUGGUAUGUUCUAAUUUAGCCUUUUUGCCUCAGCCCUAUGUGUUUAUUUACAGUUUUCUACAAUCCUGUUUACACUGUUGUUCAUGAUUAAUGUUAACUAUGUGUGUUCUUUCCUUGCAUCUAUUUUCUGUUAUGAAUCCCUACCCCUAUUCCCUUCUAUGUGUUUGAGUUAAGGUUCAUGGCCUGGCAGUAUCCAAAUUACUGCCCAGGUCCAAACCUGAUCCUCAAUGGAUCCUAACUCCCAAUUUUGGCUGACAGGCUGGUCAGAGGUGUGCCAACACUCUUAAAUUGUUGGGCAUGACCACCAGCAUGCCAUGGCCUUCCCUAAUUCCCCUCUAUUCACUUACACUUAUUCUUAGACUCUUAAGUUCUGCCCCCUCUUAUGAGCCUUGCUUUGGGAUCUUGAGUUCCCUCUAAACUUGGACAUCUGAGGGUUGGCCCUUCCACUACACUAUUAUCUCAAUUCUGCAAUGUGUUUGGGGUGUAAGCACUGCCCGAAGCCCUUUGAGACUCUUGGGAACUUUGACACAUCCCAAACAUGAGAAAGGCUUUUGGAAAUCUGAUCUUGAAAGUUGGUUUAUCUCAUAUUGUUGGACUUUGAGUCUGAAUUAGGCUGUUUGGUUGUAGCUUGAAUUUCUGAUGUAAUUUUACUUUUCUUGAUUCAUUCUAGCCUGUAAUAUUUUAUAAUAACUUAUGGGGUUCUAAGUAAAAAAGGAGAGGGUCAUUUAUGUAUGCAAAGGGUAAACAACAUGCUCAUAGGUGUUACUAUUUACAAGUUCUACACUUCUGCAUAUCAUAUAGAAAUCCUGCCUAUAAGUUUCUGCAUAUAGAAAUCAUGUAUAAGUUUCUGCACUUAGGAAUUUAGAAAUCCUGCCUAUAAGUUAUGCAUUACACGUAGAAAUCUUGACUAUAAGUUGUUUCAUUACUGCAUUAGAAACCAUGCCUAUAAGUUUCUGCAUAUAGAAAUCAUGACUAUAGUUUUGUUUCUGCAUUUCUACAUAUUCAUAUGUCGUUAGGCAAACAAUCAUAGGUUUAAUAAUAAUCAACUUCAUUCUAUAUACCAUGCCUAUAGGGCUCCUGCACUAACAUAAUCAUUUUAAAAUCAAUAACGCUUAGAAAUCAUGCCUAUAGGAGCAGCCGUCUGAAUCUGAUUCGUUUAUUUUAUCUAAAAUCAGUAGUAAUGUUUGUUUAAUAUCUACAGAAUUUAAUUGGUCCUAAAAUCAGUAACCUUUCUUUAAAAUCAGUAUACUUCCACCUAGGUAAGAAGUAGGUAGUUGUUUAACUAUGUCAGUUUUAAUAAAUUGCAACCAGACAAGGCCUAAUUCAGACUCCUCAUCUGAGAAAUAUGUGAUGAAGCAGCAUGUCCUAACGCUUUAGUUUAAUUCAGACUAUAACCAGUAUUUGAAGUAAUGAUAAAUAAUUUGCUCCUUUAAGUGAGGAGGCAUGUUUGAGCCCUUAAAUUGCUAUUUGUUUCCCCCUACUUGCUUAUGUGUUUUGUUUGUCGUAUUAGAAUUUUGUCCUUUUAAAACUCUGGAAAAAAAACCAACCUACCUCCCUUUAGGACUAGUAGUCCCAAAUGCCUCCGGGACUGAUAGGAUCGAGACGGGUAAUACCAUGCAGUAAGCAAUGACACUAUUCCGCAUUUAAUACCUUAACGGGGUGGGAAAGGGUAGAUAUGGACAUGAUGACCGGUGCGCUAAUACCACAUGCGACCCCCCUUUUGAGGAGUGAUUGUCGGGUAUUGCAUUGAUGUGAUCCAUAUUGUUUGUAAACCUAGGACCCCUUCCCCUUUACUUGUUAUCCUUUUUUUUAACUGUCCAAACUAUUUGCUUAAGAUUUCUAUUUUCUUUAUCUUUCUUCAAACAUUCAAUUCACUUGCAACAUUAUCCCCUUCUAUUUGAGACCUUUAUUUGCUUACUUGUUAGUUAAAUUCACAAUUGUAACAUNNNNNNNNNNNNNNNNNNNNNNNNNNNNNNNNNNNNNNNNNNNNNNNNNNNNNNNNNNNNNNNNNNNNNNNNNNNNNNNNNNNNNNNNNNNNNNNNNNNNNNNNNNNNNNNNNNNNNNNNNNNNNNNNNNNNNNNNNNNNNNNNNNNNNNNNNNNNNNNNNNNNNNNNNGCCCUUACCCGAACUCUGGUUUUCCAACUCGAACUCUUAUUUAGUGUCCUAAUGCACUUUAAUCAUUAGGUGGCGACUCUUCAACCCAAAAACCCAAUUCCCAAGAGGGAACGAGUUGUCCUCCCAAAUGUCAUGAACCCGAUUUUGCUUUUGGAAAAAGAAGGCGCGACAGCGUGGCGACUCUGCUGGGGACUUCUUUAGGCUUUUACCAUCUCAUGUUACUUGUGACUUCACUACUUCUUUAUUACCUUUAUUUAAUGUCUUUACCUCUUUUCUGCUAUGAAACUGACUUGGCUCUUUGUUUUUUUUCUUUAAUGCUUUCUUUUACUGCUUUCCUUCACUGUCGUUGUAAUUAUGAGCAAUUAUUGUAAUCAUUACUUUAUUAACGUGCAAAUAC